GUAUUAUAAAUUUUUCAAGUGAUCAUUUUUGUUUUAGUUUCAGCAUUUAGAGAGGACUCCCUGCAAAGAAGAGAGCUCAUCCCUAGAUAUAAAACUGGAGUAGAAGAUCAGAGUUGACACAUGAGAAAGACUGAUGAUGGACCCCAACCAAGAAACCUAAGAUUAGUAGAGGGAAAACAAUUUUUCCUCUUCUACAACAGUCUAUAGCUGCAGGGAGGUCAGCUAUAACGUAUAAGAACAGAAGAGUGAUAUAAAUCAUGUCAAGAAAAUGUAUAUGGUAUGUAGGAUUUAAUUCUCACCUAUUCUAUAUAUGAAAAGAAAUAACAAUUUUGAUAACCUAUUUUCCUACAUUUUAUCUAAUUUUUAUAAUCCUUAGUAUUCUUCUCUACAGAUUCCUGGAGGAACUUAUAUUAUCAAUUGGGAAAUAGAGGGAAGGGAUGCACUUUGAACAAAGAUCAGGGGCCUGGUCAUGGACACUUGGAACCUGCUUCAUUCCAAUUAGACCACUAACUGACAACCCAC
rnacentral:lncRNA from 1 species